UAUACCGUGAAACUGCGAAUGGCUCAUUAAAUCAGUUAUCGUUUAUUUGAUAGUACCUUACUACUUGGAUAACCGUGGUAAUUCUAGAGCUAAUACAUGCUGAAAACCCCAACUUCGGAAGGGGUGUAUUUAUUAGAUAAAAAACCAACGCCCUUCGGGGCUUCUUGGUGAUUCAUGAUAACUUUACGGAUCGCAUGGCCUUGCGCUGGCGACGGUUCAUUCAAAUUUCUGCCCUAUCAACUUUCGAUGGUAAGGUAUUGGCUUACCAUGGUUUCAACGGGUAACGGGGAAUUAGGGUUCGAUUCCGGAGAGGGAGCCUGAGAAACGGCUACCACAUCCAAGGAAGGCAGCAGGCGCGCAAAUUACCCAAUCCCGACACGGGGAGGUAGUGACAAUAAAUACUGAUACAGGGCUCUUUUGGGUCUUGUAAUUGGAAUGAGUACAAUUUAAACCUCUUAACGAGGAACAAUUGGAGGGCAAGUCUGGUGCCAGCAGCCGCGGUAAUUCCAGCUCCAAUAGCGUAUAUUAAAGUUGUUGCAGUUAAAAAGCUCGUAGUUGAAACUUGGGUCUGGCUGGCGGGUCCGCCUCACCGCGUGUACUUGUCCGGCCGGGCCUUCCUUCUGGAGAACCUCAUGCCCUUUACUGGGCGUGUUGGGGACCAGGACUUUUACUUUGAAAAAAUUAGAGUGUUCAAAGCAGGCCUUUGCUCGAAUACGUUAGCAUGGAAUAAUAGAAUAGGACGUGCGGUCCUAUUUUGUUGGUUUCUAGGACCGCCGUAAUGAUUAAUAGGGACAGUCGGGGGCAUCAGUAUUCAAUUGUCAGAGGUGAAAUUCUUGGAUUUAUUGAAGACUAACUACUGCGAAAGCAUUUGCCAAGGAU
rnacentral:rRNA from 1 species